rnacentral:rRNA from 1 species
ACGUUCGGAUUUUGGGUUAAGGGUCCGUAGGCGGGAAGAUAAGUCAGUGGUGAAAUCCUGCAGCUCAACUGUAGAACUGCCAUAGAAACUGUUUUUCUUGAAUAGCGAUGAAGCAGCCGGAAUGUGUAGUGUAGCGGUGAAAUGCAUAGAUAUUACACAGAACACCAAUUGCGAAGGCAGGUUGCUAAACGCCGAUUGACGCUGAGGGACGAAAGCGUGGGGAGCGAACAGGAUUAGAUACCCUGGUAGUCCACGCCGUAAACGAUGGAUACUCGCUGUCGGGGCUACGGUUUCGGUGGCUAAGUAAAAGUAAUAAGUAUCCCACCUGGGGAGUACGACCGCAAGGUUGAAACUCAAAGGAAUUGACGGGGGCCCGCACAAGCGGUGGAGCAUGUGGUUUAAUUCGAUGAUACGCGAGGAACCUUACCGGGGCUUAAAUGGGAAUUGACAGAGGUAGAAAUAUCUUUUUCUUCGGACAAUUUUCAAGGUGCUGCAUGGUUGUCGUCAGCUCGUGCCGUGAGGUGUCAGGUUAAGUCCUAUAACGAGCGCAACCCUCAUCAUUAGUUGCCAGCGUUUAAAGACGGGAACUCUAAUGAGACUGCCGGUGCAAACCGCGAGGAAGGUGGGGAUGACGUCAAAUCAUCACGGCCCUUACGUCCCGGGCCACACACGUGCUACAAUGGCCGGUACAGAGGGCAGCUACACAGCGAUGUGAUGCGAAUCUCGAAAGCCGGUCUCAGUUCGGAUUGGAGUCUGCAACUCGACUCUAUGAAGCUGGAAUCGCUAGUAAUCGCACAUCAGCCAU